rnacentral:rRNA from 1 species
CUCAGAUUGAACGCUGGCGGCAGGCCUAACACAUGCAAGUCGAGCGGCAGCGGGAAAGUAGCUUGCUACUUUUGCCGGCGAGCGGCGGACGGGUGAGUAAUGCCUGGGGAUCUGCCCAGUCGAGGGGGAUAACUACUGGAAACGGUAGCUAAUACCGCAUACGCCCUACGGGGGAAAGCAGGGGACCUUCGGGCCUUGCGCGAUUGGAUGAACCCAGGUGGGAUUAGCUAGUUGGUGAGGUAAUGGCUCACCAAGGCGACGAUCCCUAGCUGGUCUGAGAGGAUGAUCAGCCACACUGGAACUGAGACACGGUCCAGACUCCUACGGGAGGCAGCAGUGGGGAAUAUUGCACAAUGGGGGAAACCCUGAUGCAGCCAUGCCGCGUGUGUGAAGAAGGCCUUCGGGUUGUAAAGCACUUUCAGCGAGGAGGAAAGGUUGGUAGCUAAUAACUGCCAGCUGUGACGUUACUCGCAGAAGAAGCACCGCUAACUCC